rnacentral:lncRNA from 1 species
UUCUCUUUCCUCUUUUUGUUCAUUUUCUUUAAGGAAUAUGUAUUGACAUGUAUUGAAAUAUUACAAACAUAAUGCCUUUUUUUUCCUUCCUCUUAUCCUUCUAUUUUUUCUUCCUCUUAUCCUUCUAUUUUUUCAUUCCUUUUUUUUUCUAUUUUUUUUUCUUUUUCUGCCAACUUCUGAAAUAUUACAAACAUAAUUAUUCAACCCCACACACUCCAAACAAGACUCUUUC